GGAUGAACGCUAGCGGCAGGCCUAAUACAUGCAAGCCGAACGGCAAGAUUGAUAGCAAUAUUGAUCCUAGAGUGGCGUAAGGGUGCGUAACACGUAUGCAAUCUACCCUCAACAGGAGGAUAGCUCCCCGAAAGGGGAAUUAAGACUCCAUAAGAUCAUUUGGUGGCAUCAUUGAAUGAUUAAACUUCCAGGGGUUGAGGAUGAGCAUGCGCCGAUUAGUUAGUUGGCGGGGUAAGGCCCACCAAG
rnacentral:rRNA from 1 species